rnacentral:rRNA from 1 species
GGGUUGUGAGGUUAAGCGACUAAGCGUACACGGUGGAUGCCCUGGCAGUCAGAGGCGAUGAAGGACGUGCUAAUCUGCGAUAAGCGUCGGUAAGGUGAUAUGAACCGUUAUAACCGGCGAUUUCCGAAUGGGGAAACCCAGUGUGUUUCGACACACUAUCAUUAACUGAAUCCAUAGGUUAAUGAGGCGAACCGGGGGAACUGAAACAUCUAAGUACCCCGAGGAAAAGAAAUCAACCGAGAUUCCCCCAGUAGCGGCGAGCGAACGGGGAGCAGCCCAGAGCCUGAAUCAGUGUGUGUGUUAGUGGAAGCGUCUGGAAAGGCGCGCGAUACAGGGUGACAGCCCCGUACACAAAAAUGCACAUGCUGUGAGCUCGAUGAGUAGGGCGGGACACGUGGUAUCCUGUCUGAAUAUGGGGGGACCAUCCUCCAAGGCUAAAUACUCCUGACUGACCGAUAGUGAACCAGUACCGUGAGGGAAAGGCGAAAAGAACCCCGGCGAGGGGAGUGAAAAAGAACCUGAAACCGUGUACGUACAAGCAGUGGGAGCACGCUUAGGCGUGUGACUGCGUACCUUUUGUAUAAUGGGUCAGCGACUUAUAUUCUGUAGCAAGGUUAACCGAAUAGGGGAGCCGAAGGGAAACCGAGUCUUAACUGGGCGUUAAGUUGCAGGGUAUAGACCCGAAACCCGGUGAUCUAGCCAUGGGCAGGUUGAAGGUUGGGUAACACUAACUGGAGGACCGAACCGACUAAUGUUGAAAAAUUAGCGGAUGACUUGUGGCUGGGGGUGAAAGGCCAAUCAAACCGGGAGAUAGCUGGUUCUCCCCGAAAGCUAUUUAGGUAGCGCCUCGUGAACUCAUCUCCGGGGGUAGAGCACUGUUUCGGCAAGGGGGUCAUCCCGACUUACCAACCCGAUGCAAACUGCGAAUACCGGAGAAUGUUAUCACGGGAGACACACGGCGGGUGCUAACGUCCGUCGUGAAGAGGGAAACAACCCAGACCGCCAGCUAAGGUCCCAAAGUCAUGGUUAAGUGGGAAACGAUGUGGGAAGGCCCAGACAGCCAGGAUGUUGGCUUAGAAGCAGCCAUCAUUUAAAGAAAGCGUAAUAGCUCACUGGUCGAGUCGGCCUGCGCGGAAGAUGUAACGGGGCUAAACCAUGCACCGAAGCUGCGGCAGCGACNNNNNNNNNNNACUAUGUGUUGUUGGGUAGGGGAGCGUUCUGUAAGCCUGUGAAGGUGUGCUGUGAGGCAUGCUGGAGGUAUCAGAAGUGCGANAUGCUGACAUAAGUAACGAUAAAGCGGGUGAAAAGCCCGCUCGCCGGAAGACCAAGGGUUCCUGUCCAACGUUAAUCGGGGCAGGGUGAGUCGACCCCUAAGGCGAGGCCGAAAGGCGUAGUCGAUGGGAAACAGGUUAAUAUUCCUGUACUUGGUGUUACUGCGAAGGGGGGACGGAGAAGGCUAUGUUGGCCGGGCGACGGUUGUCCCGGUUUAAGCGUGUAGGCUGGUUUUCCAGGCAAAUCCGGAAAAUCAAGGCUGAGGCGUGAUGACGAGGCACUACGGUGCUGAAGCAACAAAUGCCCUGCUUCCAGGAAAAGCCUCUAAGCAUCAGGUAACAUCAAAUCGUACCCCAAACCGACACAGG